CUAUGUACUGUAUGAUGAGAUUUAUACGAAAUGUCUAGAAAAGGCAAAUCAAUAGAAACAGAGUGGUGGUUGCCUGGGGCUGGAGAUGAGAGUGGCGGGGGGCUGUGAAUGGGCAUGAGGGGUCUUUGUAGGAUGAUGGAAAUGUUCUAAAGCUGGACUACAGUGAUGGUUGUGUAACUCUGCAAAUGCAUUAAGAAUCACUGAACUUGGGGCGCCUGGGUGGCGCAGUCGGUUAAGCGUCCGACUUCAGCCAG